CUCCUCCAAGCCUGGCUACACCCCUAUGUCGCCCUGACCCUCUGGGGGCAGGAAUCACAGCCCCGUGACCAGGGAUCCUGUGAACACUCACCGGGGACCGGGCUGCCCCCUCGGUGCUCCGCGAGCACCCCAUUCCAGCAUGCUUAUGCUCGUGGAAAAUGUUCUUAAUAAUAACUGCACCAGCAAGAGAGAGGAAAAGAGGUGUUUAGACACAGGAAGCGAGAGGUGCAGUUGGGAUGAAGCAUCUUGCUUUAGUCUCCGUGGCAACAGGUGGAAAAAAAGCCUGAGUGAAGGCAAGUUCUUGUGGUUGUGCGUCUGGACCUUCAUGGCCAUUGAAGGUCACAUGGCACGUGGCAAGGUCAUGGCAAGGGAGCUGACUACCCCCGCCCAACCCCCACGUCCCCUGAACCUUCUCAGUACUCUUUCCAUGCUUUUAUGUUAAUGCUGAGAGAACCAGAGACUCUUACAAGGAGGCCAGGGAAUAACAUGGUCCCAGGUAGAUGUAUCUGAAGCCCCAUGGCCGUCAGUGAACAGUUUCCCAGGCUACACUUGGCUGUGAGCACCCUAAUAGUAAUUGCAACAGUUUAGAGCAGGAGAAAUUAUUAAUCUUUGUUUUUGAAUUCAUACUUAGUGUUGUCAUUGUUUUUACAGUGUUUGGUGUCUGGAUAUUACGCUCCUCUUGUGUGCUAGGAGCUUUGAGAACACAAAGAUGAAUUGCGCAUGGCCUGAAUAGCAGUUCUUACCCGGGCGGCCACGGAUCCUUGUCCUUGGGUGGAAGUCAGGGGCUUUGUGAACAUGGAUGGAAAAGAAGGGUACAUUUUCAGUAACCUCCAACUGCAAUGUAGCGUUUCCUUCAGAGAUGAGCAGUGACAGAAGCCCAGGGCAGAGCUGUCCCUGUGACUGUUGGGCGCAUCACAGCUGUUGGUAGCUCUCUUGAAAUACAGUGCCUUUGUAGCACUACUUUGAAAUAAUGGCAGCUACCUGACCUAGACACCCAUUUUACUGUGUACAUCAAAUGUAUAUUUUACUAUUUAACUAUUUCAUAAUUUCCAUGGGGUUGCAGAGUCGGACACGACGAAGCGACUGAGCACGCGAGUAUGCGUGUGCACACACACACACA
ensembl:lncRNA